UCCAAGAAGACCAUCAGCAAGCCAACGCCAUUGGGAGGUACAACAACCAGCCUAGAUAUGAUCCAUACUCCACUACAUACAAUCCAGGUUGGAAAGAUCACCCCAAUUUUAACUAUGGAAAGAGCAACAGUGAUCAGAACUACCAAAGUUACCAAAGAAAUCAAGCCCAACCAGCACCUUCAACUCCAAGUCAGAACCUUGAGAAGAUCAUGCAAACAAUGAUGGAAACAAUGGUGAGCACCAUGCAAGGCGUGCGACAAGACCUAGGCCAAAUGACCACAUCUAUGCAAGGCGUGCGACAGGACCUAAGCCAAAUGGCCACCUCUAUAGGCCAACUGCAAUCCCAAGGUAAGCUCCCUUCUCAAACUGAAACCAACCCCAGACAGAAUGUUAGUGCUAUUACUUUGAGAAGUGGCAAAGAGCUUCAAGAUACUAAUCAUGAGCAAGAAAAAGAACCAAAGCCACCUGAAGCCUCUCCAUCGCAAUCCGCAGCCCCUCCUGCGCAAAAGACUGACCCAAAGGUAAGCUUUCACAUUCCACCUCCUUUUCCCAAGAGAUUUGAAAGAACACAAAAAGAAAAGGAAGAAAAGGAGAUCCUUGACACUUUCAGAAAAGUACAAAUCAAUAUACCUCUGCUAGAUGCUGUUAAGCAGAUUCCCAGGUACGCUAAGUUUCUGAAAGAACUUUGCACUAAUAGGAGAAAGCUUGCAGAGAGAGAAAAAGUAAGUGUAGGUGAGGUUGUGACUGCUGUUAUUAAAAGAGAACUCCCUACCAAAUGCAAGGACAAAGGUAUGUUCGCUAUCUCUUGUAAAAUUGGGAAUGUUGGUAUAAGGAAAGC
rnacentral:lncRNA from 1 species